rnacentral:lncRNA from 1 species
UUUCCUCUUUGUUAGUCUGUUUUUUUUCUUUUUCUUUUCAAGACCAGGGCCGGAUCUAAAGCUCUAUCAAGCAAGUUCGGGGUGAUGAGAUCUGUUUGAUUAAGACGGGAUCAGCCUGCCUGCCUUCCUUCUCAGAUGAGAAAAGAAUGAAAAGUCCUUCGGCACAAGUACUUGUUUCUGGACGCAGAUUAGACCGACAGAGGGAUCGAAUUGGCUGUGUGUCGCUGCCCCCUCUCUCGCUCUCGCCCCGCCAUCUGCACCACCACCACCAUAGAUGUGUGAGGAAGAAAAAGACAGGUACGGAUAGACAGUUGUCUAAAUUUACGUUCAUACCCCCACUAUUCAUGAAAACAUCCAAAGUAGUAUUUUUCCCAUUU